rnacentral:rRNA from 1 species
AUAAGCGGUGGAGCAUGUGGUUAAUUCGACGCAACGCGAAGAACCUUACCAGGGCUUGACAUCCCCUGACCGCGUAUGAAAGUACGUUUUCACCCUCGGGUGACAGGGAGACAGGUGGUGCAUGGUUGUCGUCAGCUCGUGUCGUGAGAUGUUGGGUUAAGUCCCGCAACGAGCGCAACCCCUACGUUUAGUUGCUAACAGGUGAAGCUGAGCACUCUAGACGAACUGCCGUUGACAAAACGGAGGAAGGUGGGAUGACGUCAAAUCAUCAUGCCCCUUAUGUUCUGGGCUACACACGUGCUACAAUGGCCGGUACAGACGGAGGCGAAGCCGCGAGGCGGAGCAAAUCCGAAAAAGCCGGUCUCAGUUCGGAUUGCAGGCUGCAAUUCGCCUGCAUGAAGUCGGAAUCGCUAGUAAUCGCAGGUCAGCAUACUGCGGUGAAUACGUUCCCGGGCCUU